CAUCAUUUGCAAUUUACCCACCCAUACUUUUCUAGUGACCUUGUAUGGAAUAGAUUUUGUCUUGACCUUGGCCAAGCCUUUAUUUAAGCCACAGUGAUUUGUCAGCAGGGGCAUGCACAUGAAAAAUGUAAUUUAAUUAGCAAGCAUUUUUUUGAAAAAUGCUUAGUAAGCAAUAUUUCUUAGUAAUUGCUAGAUAAAUCAUAUCCAGAAAAAUAAAUAUAUACCAACAAACUUCUGUCUGGCUUUUAAAAGUAAUAAACAUGAUUUUAAAUAAUAGUUGGUUAAUUUAAAGUAUUAAUAGCCAUUAACACACAAGCAGCACAUGUUUAUGCUAUUCAGAACAGGUCAAGGUUCAUUUUCAUGCAAAUUAUAUAAUCCAUGCUAAUUUCAAAAGAUGCAAACUUGCAUAUGUCAGAAAAAUAACAGUCUGUAUCAUGUCUAGACGAAGUUGUAUAAUAUAUAUGAACAGAUCAUGUUAUACAUCCAUGAAAAUACAUACAGUAGUUGCCAUAUACCAGACUAUAGGCAGAGAAUGAAAGCUCUUAUGCCACUAUGCCAAGCCAUAUUGUAACUGCAUGUCUGAAAUAUUUAAACUAUUGUUUCUAGGCAGUAGGUGCAGACCACACACCUAACAAUUUAACACAAUAAAACUACAGUAUAUAGAAUAAUUUGCUAAAGAGUAAGUCACAACCGUAGCAGAACAAUUGUGUCAAACCAGCUAGUGUGUGUCAAACACUCUUAUCUAGUUAUGCUUGUCUAAUUAUUC